CACGUAGGGUGCGAGCGUUGUCCGGAAUUAUUGGGCGUAAAGAGCUCGUAGGCGGUGUGUCGCGUCGGCCGUGAAAACCUGCAGCUUAACUGUGGGCUUGCGGUCGAUACGGGCAUCACUGGAGUUCGGCAGGGGAGACUGGAAUUCCUGGUGUAGCGGUGAAAUGCGCAGAUAUCAGGAGGAACACCGGUGGCGAAGGCGGGUCUCUGGGCCGAUACUGACGCUGAGGCGCGAAGGCGUGGGGAGCGAACGGG
rnacentral:rRNA from 1 species